rnacentral:lncRNA from 1 species
AUAUUAUGACGUAAUUGUGACGUCAUUACAUAAAAAUCUUAAUGUUAUUCAUUGAUAUUUCUUGACACUAUGCAUUUCAAAUAUUAUGUGCCAAUUUGAAAAAGUUAUCAAACAUUUUAUUUUCUUGGGCCAAAACCAGGCCUAAUGCCCCUACUCCUUUGGUGUUGUUCCCUCGUCGGGAUUCGAACCCAUCGCCUGCAUUGUAACCGGCGUGCCAGACCAACGAUCACCUGGCCUUGAAGGCAUAAAACUUUGCUCAGUGCUCGGAGCACAAAAAUCAUGCUCGAAACAUGAAAUCCAGCAAUUUGAUUGGUUGAUUUUCGAGUCUGAGUACAAAAAUCAUGCUCGAAAGUUUUAUGACCGUGAGGCCUGGGCUUCAUAAAAAUGAAGCUUUCGGUGGCCGGGUGUUACCUUUCCACGUCAGUUUUUAUCUAGGGUCGUACUACAGUACAUGAUAUAUAAAGCAUGAAGAAUUUAUUUUUACAGAUCAGCUAAAUUAUUUAGAGUAAAGGAUCCUACAAAUUAAUGUAAGAUACAGUCACAGAAAUAAUUAUAUUUAUAAGUACGUCUGAACCAGUGACAAUUCUACAACAGAUUUAUCAAUCGGAUCACCAGCAGUAAUAGUGAUACAUGGCUGUGUACAUUCUGUGUAUACAACUCGUCUAAACAUCAACCCAACAAUAUAUAUGUAUAUAUUGAUGUAUCUUCGACCUGUUAGUCAAAUGCGUUUUGUUUAAAUAUACUUUUUCACUUUUUUGGUCUUUUGGAAAAUGUUGUUUGUGCUGUAUUUAGAC